rnacentral:rRNA from 1 species
UACGUAGGGGGCAAGCGUUGUCCGGAUUUAUUGGGCGUAAAGAGCGUGUAGGCGGCCAGGUAGGUCCGUUGUGAAAACUCGAGGCUCAACCUCGAGACGCCGAUGGAAACCAUCUGGCUAGAGUCCGGAAGAGGGGAGUGGAAUUCCUGGUGUAGCGGUGAAAUGCGCAGAUAUCAGGAAGAACACCCGAGGCUAAGGCGGCUCUCUAGUACGGUACUGACGCUGAGACGCGAAA